rnacentral:lncRNA from 1 species
CGAGUUCUUCACACUCAAGCCAAUCUCAACCUUCCAUCCAAUAUAUCCAAUAGUUCAGGAAAUCUUCUUCUAUUCUCUUUAAUUUGUCCAAAAUAUUUCAUUUAAUCAAUGACCAAACUCAGCAUAUCCUAUCUCUCCCAAAGGCUAUCCAACCCUAGUUCACCUUUGAAUUUCCGCCAUCUUUGGCCAGUGGCCAAGCUCGACCAGCACCCCAAAAUCCGGCCAUGUGCGAUUACCUUUCCCUACAUCUUAACCCGUCACCAUUUACCUGAAACCUUUGCCCAGAUAGACCCGUAUUUAGUCUGACAUCAAAUGGAGGAAACUCUUUAAGUCCUCAAGUUUUAGUAGCGAUUCGUUUCGAAGUCAAUAUCGUUCGAUUGUUGUCUAGAAGAACAACCGGUCAAUAUCAAAUUUAGGUCGAAUCGAAGACGCCAAAGUUCAUUCAAGCCAGUCGUUUGCUUUCUUUGUUAGGUAUUUUACCAUGUUUCUUUACUUUUACCCUGUUUCUGUUUCUAUUUACACUUUCUCUUCGGUUUUCUAUGUCUCUUGCGUUGUAUCUCAUCACUGCUUCCUCUUUUCCCUCUCUUGUUUUUCUUUGUUUUGUUGCUUUGUUCUUUUAUCGAAAAUGUCGUUAAUGCCGAGCCAAUUAAUAUAAAUUAUUAUCUAUUUUGGUUUAUCAUUGUUCUAAUGUCUCUACUAAUUCUAAGCAUCCGGAUUUCUCUGAAUUUUGUGUGCUAAUCUAAACUUUGUGGGAUUUGAAUUUCAUUAUUUUUGUAUUGGAUUCGAAUUAACUCAGUUUGUUAAGUUGGGUUAGGUCGUUAGUUUUGUAUUUUGGCUGACAAUACCGUGGUUCCCCUAAUAUUAGCAGAAAUCUACCAACCCUUGACCAUGUACCGUGAGGGAGGAAUUUUCUUUCAUGGUUGCAAUCUAUUACUCCAAUUGUGGAUUUAAGAACAUCUUUGCCACUGGGUGGGAUAUAUGAACGACGAGUUGACCGGGUUGAGCUGCAUCGAAGAGUUCGAGAAGCGAGUAAUGGGAGUUGCAUUUCUUGCGGGUAUUGAAGCAUGGCUUGUAAGACUGAGGUCAUUGACUGCUGAUUAAAUUGAAUGGGCAUUUGGGUGGUUACCUGCUACCAAGGUAGUAUACAUGUCACCCGGAGAGUGUCAUAAUCUUUUAAUGGGCAUCCGGAGUAUCCAACCAUAUGCUCCCCAUCGGGUACUAUACCAAUUGAGAAGGUUUCAAGUUAUCCCUAAUAAUGAGGAUUUGAGUAAGCACGUAAUUGAGUUGAGUCCGAGAGCCAUAUUUCUAGAGGAUAAAAUUCGAAAGUUAUGGAGUCAAUGCAGAUUCCUCAAGCCUAGAACCAUGUUCCGAGAUUUUGCCAAAGGUGAGGUGGACCCGAAGUACAAUGUUUGGUUUGGGAAAAGGUUUCAGAUUCCUCAUAGGCCCGCAAAAAGAGCCCAUGUCCAGCAGUUUACUAAUGAUUCACAAGAGAACUGGAGUUAGUUAGCAAAAGAAGAAAGCUACAGGGCAAAAAAAGGCAAGCUAGAACAACAAAUUAAGGACUUGCAAUUUGAAAAUAGUGUGCAAGCUGCCGCCGAUAAGGGAGAAAAGAACAAAUUGGCCCAAGAAAAUGAGGCUCUUAAGGCCCAAAUCCGGCAGAUGAGAAUAGAUGCUGACAGCCAACAAAGGAGUCGGUCAGACGAAAGAUUGAUAAGUGGGUUGAAAAAGGAAAUCACUGAGUGCCAGGAAGAGCUGAAGAAGUCUGAGGAUAACUCAACAAACCUCCAGGAACCAUGGGAAAAGAGAAGGGAAGAGCGCGCACAAUUCUUACAGCAAAUGAAGAGAGAUUACAAGAUAUCCAUUGCUAAACUGAAAAGGAAAAUGACCACCCUUGAGAACGAGACAGUUAAACAGGACAAAGCUUUUGAAACCGAAAGUGAACAUUUCUAUUAUUUAAUGGCCCUGAUGGAAGAUGAAACACAUUGGUUAUAGAAAUAGCAUCUACAUGACUCUUAAGUUUUGAAAGUUAGAGGUGAUCAGAUAGAGCGUUUGCUCCUAGAAAAAGGCCGAACCAGAAACUGGAUUUUGACUAUUGCUCAUGCCAUUACCAAAAAAAUGUCGGGUGUGCGAAAACAUGAUCUGCACUACCUUCUUUUUGGCGGUAGUGAUAUUUUCCAAGCAGAUAAUGUAUGAAUUGGAACAACUGAAAAGGAGUCCUAAGCCUGCUGCGAGGCCAAAUGAUGCCCCGUGGGCACCAAAAUUUAAAGCUCUCAAUGUAUUUGUAGUUUGAGUCUACAUUUUCUUAUCCUUUGAGUCAGUUGUCUGUAGGAGUCUGCAUUUCUUUUUUGGCAUUAGAGUAUGUGAGUGGUUCUCGAGUCUGUAGUUUGUUUUAUUUAGAGUCUGUUAUGUUCCCUUCCAAAAAUUGCUUAGUUUUCAAAUAGAAUGUUUUACUAAUGAAGACUGAAAAUUCCCAAAAAUUGUUUCUUUAUUUUUUCGCACUUUAUUUCACGAACUACGCUUGGUCUGAUUCAUGCACCAUCAUGAUACGUAGAUGAUCUCCAUAAAAUUCGACCAUACCAAAUGAAAAGAAAAGGAAAAAGAGAGAAAGAAAAUAAGGCAAAAAAAGAAAAGAAAAGAGCGAAAAAACAAGAAAAGAUAGAGAAAAAAAGAUAGAAGAAAAAAAAGGAAACGGAAGAAAAAGGGUGAAAAACAAGAGAGGAAAGAAAAACAAAUGAGAGAAAACAAAAACCAAAAGAAAGGAACAACGGAAAAUCAAAAGGGAAUGAGAGAAUAAGAACAAAAUAAAGCAAAGGUAAUAACGAAAAAGAGAGAAAGAAAGAAAAGAGAAAAACAAAAAGGGGAAAGAGUUGCAAUCAGGAAUAAGGAAAGCCGGAAUGAUGCAAGCAGUCGAGCAAAUGCAUAACAGAAAUUUUCAAUUCCUUAGGUGCAUUCAUUCCCACAAUGUGCAAUUACCAAUGUGUUAAAUGCCCUAAUGCUAACAUGAUGGUUCCAUUUUGGCAUGUCAUUCCGGGGUGGUGGUUGGUUUGUGGUUUUAAGGUAACUCUUCCCUGCAACACAAAGGAAAAAAACAAUGGCAGAGAACAACAAAACUGAGUGGGUUGAUAUCAAUGCCCGAAAGCAGCUGGUUGAACAGGACAACGAGUUGGUAGAAGAGGUAAAAAUGUUGAGACAGCAUUUGGCAGACAUGUAUCCGGCAUGGAUGACUGGUAAAGCACCACCCCCACCGCCCAUCGUCCUGGAUGCUGUCCUUACCCGAACACUGAACAUAAUGCCAGAUGAUCCUCCAUACUCCACAUAUCUACCCACUUAUGACAUCUUUCCCAACAACCAUAGUAGCUCCAUCACUCGUCGUCCCACUAUCUCUUUCCAAGAGUGUCAUCCGAUCACAUCCACUAUUCUCGACAUAGAACACCCACCCGGAGCUCAUGAUGCCCAAUAUUACCCCUCUGAUGUUACUCACAAGGUUCCCAACUCGCAUAAGAAAGACUCACAAGAUGAGCCUCAUAUUUAAAAUGAAAGGUUCACAGAAAGAGAAAGGACAGACAGGGAACCUAGGAGGGUGAAAGAGCUGUCCGUGUCUCCUGACAUUCGCCUACUCGUGGGGUUUAAAGUACCAAAGUUCAGCUUGUAUGAUGGGUUUGGGGAUCCGGUAGCUAACCUAAAGGUUUGUUGUAGUGAAAUGAGAAGUAUGGUAGAGAAAGAUUACUUGUUGAUGACAUAUUUUAGUGAGAGCCUAACUGGGGCAGCUUCUAAAUGGCAUAUUCGUCAAGAUGUUGGUAAGACGCGUAGAUGGGAUGACAUGGCUCAAGAAUUUGUGCGAUACUUUUAGUACAAUAUAAACAUUUUUCCAGACCAAUCCUUGCUAUCUCAGAUAGAAAAUAAACCCAAGGAAUGUUUUAUGGAUUUCUGGCAUAAGUGGAAUGAACAAGUUGCUCGCGUUGGUUCUUCCAUUGAUAAAAAAAAGAUGUUGCUGACCCCCGCCAAUGACAGAGUCCAGUGGUCACUCUUUCCAAAUGUCCUCAGCCUCAAUUCCAACCCCAAAACUGUUCCCGAGCACCACCUAAUCCACCUCAACGUUAUCCUCCAGAAAAUGGCUGGUCAGGUGUCCAAACCCUAGGUCUCUCCCUCUGCCAACGACAAGGUCCGGCGGUCAUUCUUGGUAAAUGCUUUUUGCCUCAAUACCGACCCCAUGAAUAUCUCUAAACUCCAUAUAAGCCACCCCAGUAUUAUCCACCGAACAACAUUCGGCCAUCUAUCCAACCACUAGGUCACUCCCUAGGGCGAGCACCAGCAAUCCAAAAUUCUCACGUGCCUUCGAAGAAUUGUCAAGCACACACCAAUCUUGGGAAACUGAGGCACGAAGGAAACUGAUGCAAAAGGAUAAUUUCAUGCCCAUUGAAGAAUCCAAUACAAGACUGUUUGGAAAGUUAAAGCAUUCUGGCCUGAUUCAGCCCUCCAUGACUAUACUCCAGACCCGUAUACGAAAGGUUUUGACCCUGUUGUUCGAUGCAUUUACCACUCUAAUGUCCAGGGGAAUAUCAUUGAGGAUUGUCGAUCUUUGAAAAGGGAAAUAGAAAGAAUGAUUCCAAAUGGGGUAGUUGUGGUCAAGGACAGUGAUAGGGAGCAUGUGAAUCCUCUUGGGAAUUUGUUGAUUAACGUUGAUAAUGGUUUCGACAAUAUUGAUGUGAAACUCAGUGGCUAAGGCACCGUGCUUGGUAAUUGGGAAGAAGAUCCAUUUCUUGGCCAGAUGGAGUAGAGCUUUGGUGGUCCAUUUUGCUGUCAUUUAUGUUGUUCGGUUAUUUGCAGGGUUGUGAUCUGGAUAUUGUCUUGUGAUUCAAACCCUCUUAUCCCUUCAUUUUUUCUAACUUGUUUAGUUAUAAUGGUUUGUUUACUGUUUUCCAUGUUUGUUUCAGGUUCAUUCUAGGGUUGUACUCCAGUUUUUUUUCUUGUUUUAUUAUUCAUCUUGUUUCAUUAUUUGUCAAAUGCAAAUUCCUGUCUUUUGUUACUUUUAAUCAUUUCCUUCUUUAGUUCUUUUCUACCAUUUUGUUUUAUCUUUGGUCUAAUGCUGGUUAUGGUGGCAUGGCAUACACGCAUAAUUCCCAGUCAGAUAUUUAAAAGUUAAUUGGGAAGCGAUGACACCAUUUUGAAGAUGAUGGGGGAACUUGAGGAAUAAGAACAGAUUUGGAAGUUUUUGAGAUUGUUUGACACCGUAACUAUGUGAAUCUGGGGCAGAUAGAACAUAAAGAAAUCUUAAAGGCAAGUUUGACAAAUUGACAGGGGGUCAUUCGUGGUAAUGAGAGGGAGACUGUUGUCCAAUGAUGUGUUAUAUUUAACAAACGUGGAAUAUGUAUAAAUGACCAUCAAUUCUGAUGCGGUCAAGAGAAACUAUAUAUGAUUUUUGUGUUUAAUUGUAUUUCUUUGCAUUUGGCAUAUUCUGAGAUUUGAAAUGAUGAAGGAGUUUUGCUCUACUAUCUAAACAAUUUAUCCCUUGUCACCUCUUUUGGGCCUCGACCUUCAUUGUCACUACCCGACCAAGGUUAGGCUUGGCAUUACUGAGUAUCGCUGUGGUGUACUCACACCUAUUCUGUGCAUGUUUUUCAUGUGCAGACCCACGUACUUCUUCCCAGGCGUAUCAUCCUCGUAGCGGAGAGCAUUAGUGGAGACUUGAGGUAUAUCUGUUACGUCCGCAGACCAGAAGUCUCUAUUCCAUUCCAGCUGUAGUAUAUAGCCCCUUUUCCCUUCUUUUCGUGUUGUUUAGAUACUAUGGUGUAGAGCAUACUAUGUUACUCAUUUAGCCCGUGUUUGCCCGUGAGAUUCCGGGUUUUGGG